GGCUGACUGAGGGCGAUCACGGUCCCCGAAAGGGCUGCGGGCGACGCGGGCUCCCAGCUCGGGGCUCCGGGACGAGGGCGAGAGGUGCCAGCAGCCCCCAAGCCAGUCCCCCGCAAUGAGACAGAGAGACCCGCCCUCCGCCUCCUCCCACUGAAGCCUCUGGCAGUCCCGGCGAUCGGGCCGGGCCAGUUACAGGAGAAAGGGGCGCAUUCGCCCCGCCCGGGAACCGGGGCCUCUCCCGGGCAGGCUCCUCUUUGUCCAGCACCAGCCAUGUGCCUAGAGUUAACUGUGUCAAGAAGAGCAUGCUUCAAGUGGCUGGAGUGAGCAGUUCAACUUGUGGAGGAAUGAGAAAUAACAGUGCUGAGACAAGAAACACAACACCCCAGGGAUGGCUGUGGAGAUCCAGGGAGACAGUGGCCAUAGGGAUGCUAUGUUAACUGCAGAUGCAGCCGUAGGAGCACCUUGCUAACGGCCAACGUGAGGUGAUGCCUCGCCCUGCUUCAGCUCUCACUGGUUAGGCUGCACCCCCAGACCGGCAUCGACUGUCCGACACGCCCCAGGGAGAUGAACCCGGUACCUCAGUUGAAAAUGCAGAAAUCACCCGUCUUCUGUGUCGCUCACGCUGGUAGCUGGAGGCUGGAGCUGUUCCUAUUCGGCCAUCUUGGGUGCCCCCCUGCCAUAGCCCUUUUUGGUAUGUCUAAGGGAAUUAUUCAGUGCAGAGACUGGAUUGUCUUCUUGGGCCUCACUGAUUCUCCUCCCUUCCAGGUUUGUCUGUGCUGAGAUGUCCACUUCUAGGAUUACAGCCUAACUUGCAGUCACAUAGUUCUUAAUCUUUGCCUUUUCAUUCUGCUAAUGAUUGUGCAAUAUGUUGCUUUCUAUGCCUUUCUGUACUCAGCCGAGUUUCCAGUUUUAAAGGAGAAGUACAAGAAGACCCCUAAUGGUUAGCAAGAUAUGUAGAACACAGAGGACCUAGCAGCGCACUUUUCCAGUCAGGUUCAAGCUCAAAGGCCUAAAGUUUUGCAAACAUCUGAUGAAGAGGAAGAUUUCUGAGACUGUGCCAGCCUAUUACAUAAAGGAAAC